UGAGGAAUAUUGGACAAUGGGCGAAAGCCUGAUCCAGCAAUACCGCGUGAGUGAAGAAGGCCUUCGGGUUGUAAAGCUCUUUCAGCAGGGAAAAUAAUGAUGGUACCUGCAAAAGAAGUUCCGGCUAACUCCGUGCCAGCAGCCGCGGUAAUACGGAGGGAACUAGCGUUGUUCGGAUUUACUGGGCGUAAAGAGCGCGUAGGCGGCUUAGUAAGUUAGAAGUGAAAGCCCAGGGCUUAACCCUGGAACUGCUUCUAAAACUGCUAAGCUAGAGUACGGGAGAGGAUAGUGGAAUUCCUAGUGUAGAGGUGAAAUUCUUAGAUAUUAGGAGGAACACCGGUGGCGAAAGCGACUAUCUGGAACGAUACUGACGCUGAGGCGCGAAAGCGUGGGGAGCAAA
rnacentral:rRNA from 1 species